UACGAAGGGGGCUAGCGUUGUUCGGAAUUACUGGGCGUAAAGCGUGCGCAGGCGGCUUUGCAAGACAGAUGUGAAAUCCCCGGGCUCAACCUGGGAACUGCAUUUGUGACUGCAUGGCUGGAGUGCGGCAGAGGGGGAUGGAAUUCCGCGUGUAGCAGUGAAAUGCGUAGAUAUGCGGAGGAACACCGAUGGCGAAGGCAAUCCCCUGGGCCUGCACUGACGCUCAUGCACGAAAGCGUGGGGAGCAAACAGG
rnacentral:rRNA from 1 species